rnacentral:rRNA from 1 species
CGUCAAGUCAUCAUGGCCCUUAUGUCCAGGGCUACACACGUGCUACAAUGGACGGUACAAAGUGAAGCGAGGCCGCGAGGCGAGAGCGGAACACGAAAGCCGUCCGUAGUUCGGAUUGAAGUCUGAAACCCGACUUCAUGAAGGUGGAAUCGCUAGUAAUCGCGCAUCAGCAUGGCGCGGUGAAUACGUUCCCGGGCCUU